UCUCUGGGCUGUAACUGACGCUGAGAAGCGAAAGCAUGGGGAGCGAACAGGAUUAGAUACCCUGGUAGUCCAUGCCGUAAACGUUGGGCACUAGGUGUGGGGGACAUUCCACGUUUUCCGCGCCGUAGCUAACGCAUUAAGUGCCCCGCCUGGGGAGUACGGCCGCAAGGCUAAAACUCAAAGAAAUUGACGGGGGCCCGCACAAGCGGCGGAGCAUGCGGAUUAAUUCGAUGCAACGCGAAGAACCUUACCAAGGCUUGACAUAUACUGGACUGCGUCAGAGAUGGCGUUUCCCUUCGGGGCUGGUAUACAGGUGGUGCAUGGUUGUCGUCAGCUCGUGUCGUGAGAUGUUGGGUUAAGUCCCGCAACGAGCGCAACCCUCGUUCUAUGUUGCCAGCACGUGAUGGUGGGGACUCAUAGGAGACUGCCGGGGUCAACUCGGAGGAAGGUGGGGAUGACGUCAAAUCAUCAUGCCCCUUAUGUCUUGGGCUUCACGCAUGCUACAAUGGCCGGUACAGAGGGUUGCGAUACUGUGAGGUGGAGCUAAUCCCUAAAAGCCGGUCUCAGUUCGGAUUGGGGUCUGCAACUCGACCCCAUGAAGUCGGAGUCGCUAGUAAUCGCAGAUCAGCAACGCUGCGGUGAAUACGUUCCCGGGCCUUGUACACACCGCCCGUCAAGUCACGAAAGUUGGUAACACCCGAAGCCGGUGGCCUAACCCUGGUGGGGGGAGCCGUCGAAGGUGGGACUGGCGAUUGGGACUAAGUCGUAACAAGGUAGCCGUACCGGAAGG
rnacentral:rRNA from 1 species